GUUAUCAAUCAUCACUUGAU
rnacentral:snRNA from 1 species